CCACUCCCAAAGCUGCACACUUGGUCUAAGAGGAUGAUCUUCCCUGAUAGAAGAGGACCAUUCUUCCAUCAAGGUAUACGAGUAGCUGUGCUCCCCUGCUAGGACCUCCAAACAAGCUCUCAGUGUGUGACCUCCACCUCAUGGCCCCAUAUAGAGGCUAAACUCCAGC
rnacentral:sRNA from 1 species